GAGUUUGAUCCUGGCUCAGGAUGAACGCUGGCGGUAUGCUUAACACAUGCAAGUCGUACGAAAAAGAAUAUUUUUAGUGGCGAACGGGUGAGUAACGCGUGAGAAUUUGCCUUUAGGAAGAGGAUAAUCUCUAGAAAUAGAGGCUAAUACUCUAUAUGCCAUUUGAAAAUUUGGUGAAAAGAUUUUAUCUGCCUAGAGAGAAGCUCGCGUCUGAUUAGCUAGUUGGUAGGGUAAUGGCCUACAAAGGCGACGAUCAGUAGCUGGUCUGAGAGGAUGAUCAGCCACACUGGAACUGAGACACGGUCCAGACUCUUGCGAGAGGCAGCAGUGAGGAAUUUUCUGCAAUGGACGAAAGUCUGACAGAGCAAUACCGCGUGAGGGACAAAGGCCUACGGGUUGUAAACCUCUUUUCCCAAGGAGGAAGAUCUGACGUUACUUGGGGAAUAAGCAUCGGCUAACUCUGUGCCAGCAGCCGCGGUAAUACAAAGGAUGCAAGUGUUAUCCGGAAUUAUUGGGCGUAAAGCGUCUGCAGGUGGAUUUUUAAGUCUUUUGUUAAAUCUUUGAGCUCAACUCGAAAUCUGCAAAAGAAACUAUUUAUCUAGAGUAUGGUAGAGGUAAAGGGAAUUUUCAGUGGAGCGGUGAAAUGCGUAGAUAUUGGAAAGAACACCAAAGGCGAAGGCGCUUUACUGGGCUAUUACUGACACUCAGAGACGAAAGCUAGGGGAGCAAACAGGAUUAGGUACCCUGGUAGUCCUAGCUGUAAACGAUGGAUACUAGAUGUUGUUUCUUAUUAAAAGAAAUAGUAUUAUAGCUAACGCGUUAAGUAUCCCGCCUGGGAAGUAUGCUCGCAAGAGUGAAACUCAAAGGAAUUGACGGGAGCCUGCACAAGCGGUGGAGCAUGUGGUUUAAUUCGAUGCAACACGAAGAACCUUACCAGGACUUGACAUGAAGAGAAGUUUUUUGAAAGGAAGACGUGCUACGGCCUCUUACACAGGUGGUGCAUGGCUGUCGUCAGCUCGUGUCGUGAGAUGUUGGCUUAAGUGCCGCAACGAGCGCGACCCUUGUCUUUAGUUAAAAAUUCUAAAGAGACUGCCGAUGACAAAUCGGAGGAAGGCGAGGACGACGUCAAGUCAUCAUGCCCCUUACGUCCUGGGCUACACACGUGCUACAAUGGAUAUGACAAAAAGUUGCUUGUUUGUGAAAACUGGCGAAUCUAUAAACAUAUCCCUAGUUCGGAUUGUAGGCUGCAACUCGCCUACAUGAAGUUGGAAUCGCUAGUAAUCGCAGGUCAGCUAUACUGCGGUGAAUCCGUCCUCAGGCUUUGUACACACCGCCCGUCACACCAUGGAAGCUGAUUACACCCAAAGAUAUACUUAUGUUUAUUGAAGGUGGAGUUGGUGACUGGGGUGAAGUCGUAACAAGGUA
rnacentral:rRNA from 1 species